GAGGGCCUUUUUGUACAAACUUUUCAGAUUUCUCUUACUACCAUUCGACCAUCACCAUUUCUCUCUUAAGUUUCUACUUUUUCACAUUUUCUCACUAGCCAAACACUUCCACAAACAUCACCAUUUUCGUAUAUCACCAAGAAACCAUCCUCCAUAUUUCAAGUAGGAGUUCAACACUUGGAGAAUGGUAGAAGUUGUGACAGGACCAGGAGUAGCAAAUCAGAAGGAUGAUCAAGGCUAAGAAAGUGUUCGAUUUAGAGAAUAAACAGAUUCAGUCAUGAUCUACUUGAAGAUAGCUAAGAUUAAAAGGAUGCCUUAAUGAUUUUCUUUGUUAUGGCCUUUUUAGACAAAACUUGUUAUGAUGUAACAAGGAGCUUGAUACUCCAUUUCUAAGAAGUAUGAUUUAAAGUUGUGAAUGAAGUUAGGAUAUUAGUUUUAUUCUAAUAAAACAUUUUCUGAGAUGACCUA